AGUGAACGCUGGCGGUAGGCCUAACACAUGCAAGUCGAACGGCAGCACAGUAAGAGCUUGCUCUUACGGGUGGCGAGUGGCGGACGGGUGAGGAAUACAUCGGAAUCUACUUUUUCGUGGGGGAUAACGUAGGGAAACUUACGCUAAUACCGCAUACGACCUACGGGUGAAAGCAGGGGAUCUUCGGACCUUGCGCGAUUGAAUGAGCCGAUGUCGGAUUAGCUAGUUGGCGGGGUAAAGGCACACCAAGGCGACGAUCCGUAGCUGGUCUGAGAGGAUGAUCGGCCACACUGGAACUGAGACACGGUCCAGACUCCUACGGGAGGCAGCAGUGGGGAAUAUUGGACAAUGGGCGCAAGCCUGAUCCAGCCAUACCGCGUGGGUGAAGAAGGCCUUCGGGUUGUAAAGCCCUUUUGUUGGGAAAGAAAAGCAGCAGGUUAAUACCCCGCUGUUCUGACGGUACCCAAAGAAUAAGCACCGGCUAACUUCGUG
rnacentral:rRNA from 1 species